UGAGUAUAAGUCUCCACCGCCACCUUCGCCUUCGCCACCACCUCCUUAUGUGUAUAAAUCCCCACCACCUCCGGUGCAUUCUCCUCCACCACCCCCAAUGCAUUCUCCUCCACCACCGUAUGAGUACAAAUCACCACCACCCCCGGUGCACUCACCACCUCCUCCGUAUGAGUAUAAAUCACCACCACCCCCGGUGCAUUCUCCUCCUCCGCCCUAUGAGUACAAGUCACCACCACCUCCGGUGCACUCACCACCUCCUCCAUAUGAGUACAAAUCACCACCACCUCCGGUGCAUUCUCCACCUCCACCAUAUGAGUAUAAAUCACCACCACCACCUUCACCAUCCCCACCACCACCAUAUGUGUACAAGUCUCCACCACCACCCGUCAAAUCCCCACCUCCACCAUACCACUACUCAUCACCACCACCACCCGUAAAAUCCCCACCUCCACCAUACCACUACUCCUCCCCACCACCACCUGUAAAAUCACCUCCUCCACCUUAUCAUUACUCAUCUCCACCACCACCAGUCAAAUCCCCACCACCACCAUACCACUACUCAUCACCUCCACCACCCGUAAAAUCACCACCUCCACCAUACUACUACAAGUCCCCACCACCUCCAGUUAAAUCCCCACCACCACCAUACUACUACCAUUCUCCUCCUCCCCCAGUGAAGUCACCACCUCCACCAUACCACUACAACUCUCCUCCACCACCCAAGCAUUCUCCACCACCACCUUACUACUACAAGUCUCCACCACCCCCCGUCAAGUCACCACCCCCACCAUACUACUAUCACUCUCCACCACCCCCAAUGAAGUCACCACCCCCACCAUACUACUACAGCUCACCACCACCACCCGUCAAGUCCCCACCACCACCAUACUACUACAGUUCACCACCACCACCGGUGAAAUCCCCGCCACCCCCAUACUACUACACAUCCCCACCACCACCAGUGAAAUCUCCACCACCUCCUUACUAUCCUCACCCUCAUCAUCACUCAUACACCGUGAAGGUAGUAGGAAAGGUUUACUGUUACAGAUGCUACGACUGGAAGUACCCAAUCAAGUCCCAUGCAAAGAUGCACCUAAAAGGUAACUUUUUUUCUAUUUUAUCAAUUAUUUAAUACACAUAAUUACCUCCUAGUUACAUUCUUCAGUCUUAAGUAUAUAUGUUUUUUCAGUUAUAUACACGCUCCUCUUUAAUAAUUUAGCUUUCUUACUGAUCAUUGCUUAUUAUAUUGUCCACGCACAUGCAUGCUAGCUAGCUCAUACUACACUCAUUUUCCUUUUCCUUGCUCUUUCUUAAUGUGGAAAUCCUAAUACCCUAGUGAGCUUAAUUAUUAUCACCAGAUCACUUCUAAAAUGUAAAGUUAAUCAUGCUUUUAUAAUGAACUAAUAUGCUUCAUUUAUUAUUAAUCACUUUGGUUUCUUUUUAUGUGACACUGUGAUUUACAUGCAUUCUAUAUAGUUCCGGCCACCUAGUACACUUUAAUGAGCUUGAUUAAUAUCAGAUCAUCUUCCUAUAAAAAGUUAAAUCAUGAUUUAUGAAUUAAUUAAUAUCCAUAACGACCAUAUGUCAUAACAGCUUUAUGUUGUAAAGCGAAAGAAAAGAAGGGCUGGACACCAUUAUAUAAUAGGACAGAUUCGAUCUGGCUAGCACCCACCCGAUCCACAUUGUUCAAUAAAAGACAUGCAUAUUUUUAUCUAUAAUCCACCAAUGAAAUUCUUGAUUUAUGCACCAAAAUUGGACGUAUAUAAUUUGUUCCCUUAUAUCUUUAUUUAGAUUAUAUCUUUAUAUAGAUUAGUGUAUAGUUUAAUAAUAUUAUUUCAAAUAUAUAUUUAAUAUUUUUCCCACCGGGUGUUACAUCUUUUACAUAUAAGCAUGUUAUAUAAUAAUAUAAUAUAAAGAUUUUUAACUUACUUUAAUUUUGGUAUAUGUCAAGCAUAUGCCAAUGAUGUUGCAUAUUAGAUUAAUUAGUAAAGAGAUAUGUCCUUUCAAAGAAUAAAUUAUAAUUAAAAUUGACAUGCUAGUCUUCUAUAUACUGUUAAGAUGUCUACAUACAGAGAAACUUCAUACCACACAUAGUCCAACGAUUGAUCUCUGAUUUGAAAAUAUAGAACGUGUAUUUAUUCUUAUUUGAAAAACGUGGCAACUAGAUCAGAGUUGGAAGCUAAGAUAAUAUAUAUUAGUACAAACAACUCACAAAGGAUAAGAGGACAAAAUGACUUAUUAUUAAAAAAAACUGAAUUAGGUAAAGACUGUAUUUAUUUAAGAUUUUGUCAAUAAAGUGGUUGUAAUAAUUCAACAUGUGGAAACAGGUGCUGUGGUUGAGGUGACAUGCAAGGCAGGAGACAAAGAUGUGGUGGCUUAUGGUAAGACAAAGAUCAAUGGUAAAUACAGCAUCACGGUUAAAGGAUUUGAGUACGGAAAGUAUGGUGGAGCCAAGGCAUGCAAAGCUAAGCUCCAUAUGGCGCCCAAGGAUUCUAAAUGUAAUAUUGCAACAAAUCUUCAUUGGGGCAUUAAGGGUGCUAAACUCAAAGUGAAAUCUAAGAGCAAAUAUGAAGUUGUUUUGUCUGCUAAGCCAUUUGCAUAUGCUCCCAAGACUCCUUACAAGAAGUGUUACAAGCCUGCACCAACACCAGCUCCGGUGACUCCGGUGACACCGCCUUAUUAUUAUAAGUCUCCACCACCGCCACCCAAGUCUCCCGCACCAACUCCUUAUUAUUACAAAUCUCCACCACCGCCAUCUAAAUCUCCGGCACCAACUCCUUACUACUACAAGUCUCCACCACCACCGCCUAAAUCUCCCACGCCAACACCUUACUACUACAAGUCUCCUCCCCCACCAACAAAAUCUCCGGUUCCAGCUCCUUAUUACUACAAAUCUCCCCCACCACCAACUAAGUCUCCCACUCCGGCUCCUUAUUACUACAAGUCCCCACCACCACCUUCACCAUCACCACCACCUCCAUACUACUACAAAUCACCACCACCACCUGUCAAGUCUCCCACUCCCGCUCCUUAUUACUACAAGUCCCCACCACCGCCGUCACCAUCUCCACCACCUCCAUACUACUACAAAUCACCACCACCACCCGUGAAAUCUCCAACUCCAACUCCUUACUACUACAAGUCUCCACCCCCACCGUCACCAUCUCCUCCCCCACCAUACUACUACAAAUCACCACCACCACCCGUGCAUUCACCUCCACCACCUUACUACUACAAAUCACCACCCCCGCCAGUGCACUCACCUCCACCACCCUACUACUACAAAUCACCACCACCUCCUUCGCCAUCUCCUCCACCACCAUAUUACUACAAGUCCCCACCUCCACCAAGUCCAUCCCCUCCACCUCCAUACCAUUACUCAUCACCUCCACCACCUGUGAAAUCCCCACCACCUCCAUAUCAUUAUUCCUCACCCCCACCACCUGUCAAAUCCCCGCCACCUCCAUAUCAUUAUUCGUCACCCCCACCACCAGUGAAAUCCCCGCCACCUCCAUAUCAUUAUUCGUCACCCCCACCACCAGUGAAAUCCCCGCCACCUCCAUAUCAUUAUUCGUCACCCCCACCACCAGUGAAAUCCCCGCCACCACCAUAUCAUUAUUCAUCACCACCACCCCCCGUCAAAUCCCCACCACCUCCUUACCAUUACUCUUCACCACCACCACCAGUAAAAUCUCCACCACCUCCAUAUCAUUAUUCAUCACCUCCACCACCAGUGAAAUCCCCACCACCUCCAUACCACUAUACGUCACCACCACCUCCAGUAAAAUCACCACCACCCCCAUAUCAUUAUUCAUCACCUCCACCACCCGUGAAGUCCCCACCACCACCAUACCACUAUUCUUCACCACCACCACCAGUAAAAUCCCCACCUCCUCCAUACCAUUACUCAUCACCUCCCCCACCUGUGAAAUCACCACCCCCUCCAUACCACUACUCUUCACCACCACCACCAGUCAAAUCCCCACCUCCUCCAUACCACUACUCUUCACCUCCACCACCGGUGAAAUCUCCACCUCCCCCAUACCACUACUCAUCUCCACCACCGCCAGUGAAAUCACCUCCACCACCGUACCACUACUCAUCUCCACCACCUCCCGUGAAAUCCCCACCUCCACCGUACCACUACUCAUCACCUCCACCACCCGUAAAAUCAC
rnacentral:lncRNA from 1 species